rnacentral:rRNA from 1 species
UACGGAGGGUGCGAGCGUUGUCCGGAAUCACUGGGCGUAAAGGGCGCGUAGGCGGCCUGAUAAGUAGGGGGUGAAAUCCUGCGGCUUAACCGCAGGGCUGCCUUCUAAACUGUCAGGCUCGAGCACAGUAGAGGCAGGUGGAAUUCCCGGUGUAGCGGUGGAAUGCGUAGAGAUCCGGAGGAACACCAGCGGCGAAGGCGGCAUCCUGGACUGGUCCUGACACUCAGGAGCGAAAGCGUGGGGAGCGAGCCGG